rnacentral:lncRNA from 1 species
UGAACUCUACUCGAGAUUUUUGUAGUCCUUGUGUUGAUAAAAUGGUCCAGCCAGAUCUUAUAUCAUCCCCAGUAAACGGCGAUACGAGUGCGACUGCAUGUUUCAAACCAAAAACUGAUUGUCUAGAGCAAGGUAUAAUCAAAAGUAAAGUUGUAUUAUUUUGUCAGCAUUACACUUUUUAAGAAUACCUUGUAGUGCAAGUUAUGCAUUUUGAUAUGAAUUGCAUGGUAUCAGACUUCUUAAACUAACUUACUUAUUUGUUUCCAUUGCUAUAUGAGCUGUUAUGACCUAAGCCUGUUCGAGCUGAAACACAAUUUAACAGUUAGUAUGUAAAUAUUUGUGUAAAUCCUCCUGAUAUAUAAAAAAAAAAUUGUAAAGUAUUCACGUUAGUUUAAAUGUUUUCUUCGGCAACAAAGGAGGAGAUAUUUGUCAAAUAGUAACGCAACUCCUCAUCAACAUUAACCUGAAAAUUAUCAACUGCUUUUGGUUAUUAUCGGAUGUGUUUCCGUAACGUUAUUGCAUAGCAUUCUGGCGUCACUCGGCAAUUUGCGGUAAACACACCUACAUAGUACUUUUUCAGUGAAAAGCGUAACAAAAUCAGAUAUAAAACCAAUAUUUUGAAACAAGAGAAAAUAGUGUACAAAAUGCGAAAAAAAAAAUAAUACGAGAAAUACAUUAUUCACAGUUAUUAACAUAUUUUCUUGUUUGCUUUUUUCCGCCAAAUUAUAUGUUAUGUUGGUUUUUUCGUCAAUAUAAAAAAUAUUAUACUGUUGUUUUUCUCCUCUGUUGAGUCUUAUGAUAGAAAUAUUUCAUGUCGGAUGCAUUACUUUUGGCCUCCGUCAUUGGUAAAUUUUUUACUUCUUUUUGAAUUUCUACUUCAGAACCACUUGAAUGAUUGAUAUUUGAAACAUUGUUUUGUUUUCUUGUGUUGACGCAUGUAAUGAAAAGAUCAUAAACUGCCGUUUGUCAUAUCAGCUUUAUUAUCAGCCUUCGGUCAAUAUCAGCCCUCUAGCCGUCGGCUCUUGGGUCGAUAAUGCAUCUGAUUUGAAAAAUAACAUGUACUAAUCUAAUUAUAUGGCGCAACAUCUUAUCUAUGUAAAAUCAUGAUAUAAACAAAACGUUGGUCUCUGGUAUUAUAGAGGACGUUAUAACUAUACAUAAAAAAACCUGCAUGUAUAACUAUCUCUAUGCUACCUUAAGAGACAACAGUCAGACCAUAGAAUAGACAACAGCAGAAGGUCACUAAUAGGUCUUCAAUGGAGCGAGACAUUCCCGCACCCGGAGGCUAUUUGUUGUCCGUUUCUGAAACUUCCUAUUAUUAACCCUCUCAAAAAGUAUAGCACCAAUCAAUAAGUUUUGUAUCGAACUUAUUAAUUGUCGACAUGACAACCUAACCAGCAUUUUCUGUAAGAAGCUUAUAUUUAUAAUAUAGGGUCAAUUCUAAAUGUCAGUUGGAAGGCUUCUUUGACACAAACGGAGCGGGAAAGCAAAUUGUAAUCGGAACGAUACUUGAAGAUCUUAGAUGUACCUUAGUCUGGGAUAUAGAUAAUAGAUAUGACAUACAAACGAAUUGUGAACAAUGAUGUUGAAGGUUUUUGUGACAGUCUACACGGCUGCAAGUGCAAAAUAACAGCAUGCUUCUAUGGAGAUCCUUGCUUAUGUGACGAAAAAAAAGAUGGUUGUCCACCUGGAAC